UACAGAGGGUGCGAGCGUUGUCCGGAAUCACUGGGCGUAAAGGGCGCGUAGGUGGCGCCCCAAGUCUGUGGUGAAAGCUCGAUGCUCAACAUCGAGUCGGACCAGCGGAAACUGGGGGGGCUGGAGCACUGUAGAGGCUAAUUGGAAUUCCACGUGUAGCGGUGAAAUGCGUAGAGAUGUGGAGGAACACCAGUGGCGAAGGCGACUUUCUGGUCUGUAACUGACACUGAGGCGCGAAAGCGUGGGGGAGCGAACAGG
rnacentral:rRNA from 1 species